rnacentral:tRNA from 1 species
GCCCUCAUAGCUCAAUUUGGUAGAGCAUCUCCCUUUUAAGGAGUUGGUUGGAGGUUCAAAUCCUCCUGGGGGCA